CCUACGGGUGGCAGCAGUAGGGAAUAUUGCUCAAUGGGGGAAACCCUGAAGCAGCAACGCCGCGUGGAGGAUGAAGGUUUUCGGAUUGUAAACUCCUUUUGUUAGAGAGGAUAAUGACGGUAUCUAACGAAUAAGCACUGGCUAACUCCGAGCCAGCAGCCGCGGUAAUACGGCGGGUGCAAGCGUUACUCGGAAUUACUGGGCGUAAAGAGCGCGUAGGCGGGUUAGCAAGUCAGAGGUGAAAGCCUAUGGCUUAACCAUAGAACUGUAUUUGAAACUGUUAUUAUAGAGUAUGGUAGAGGUAGGUGGAAUUCUAGGUGUAGGGGUAAAAUCCGUAGAGAUCAAGAGGAAUACCGAUUGCGAAGGCGACCUGCUAGAACAUAACUGACGCUGAGGCGCGAAAGCGUGGGGAGCAAACAGGAUUAGAUACCCCAGUAGUC
rnacentral:rRNA from 1 species